UACGGAGGGGGCAAGCGUUGUUCGGAAUUACUGGGCGUAAAGGGCGCGCAGGCGGCUGCUCAAGUCAGGCGUGAAAGGCCUGGGCUCAACCCGGGAAUUGCGCUUGAGACUGGGCUGGCUUGAGUGCGGGAGAGGAUGGUGGAAUUCCCAGUGUAGAGGUGAAAUGCGUAGAUAUCGGGAGGAACACCAGUGGCGAAGGCGACUUCCUGGCCUGUUCUUGACGCUGAGGCGCGAAAGCUAGGGUAGCAAACGGG
rnacentral:rRNA from 1 species